UACUGUCCCUCCACCACAGCUCAGCAUGGAGACACUGUCUGAAGUACAAAGAGGGAACUGGGUGUCUUCAGGUCUACUAUGAACAGGAGGAACAACCUCAGCUGCAUCCCUCCCCUCUCUGAUCCUUCUGAAUGGAGGCUGAGAAUAGACGGGAGGCUGUUUCAGUCACCGCUCUUGAGCAGGAAUGCCUAUAUAUGGAGUCUUACACCACACAGAGCGCUGAUAGAGUUGCAGGUGCGUCAAAUAACCUUUUGUUUGGGUUGACGUGAACCCUGUUGCAUCAGCGCGGUGUCAGGGAUCAUCCAGAUAAUUUUCCUGUCUCUGGAGUGAAUCAGCGCUCCGAGGGACAACGUCAACCAACAGGUGGGUUUAACUACAACAUGCAAGGGACAAAAGAGAAAACUGCAGCAUGUGUAAUAAUUAGUUUAGAGUUAUGGUGUCUGUCUGUGGCCAAGACAAUUUUAACAAGUAUCUGUUAAAUUCGGUUAGAAAUUACAAACU